rnacentral:rRNA from 1 species
UACGGAGGGUGCAAGCGUUAUCCGGAUUCACUGGGUUUAAAGGGUGCGUAGGUGGGUAAGUAAGUCAGUGGUGAAAUCCUAGAGCUUAACUCUAGAAUUGCCAUUGAUACUAUUUAUCUUGAAUAUUGUGGAGGUAAACGGAAUAUGUCAUGUAGCGGUGAAAUGCUUAGAUAUGACAUAGAACACCCAUUGCGAAAGCAGUUUACUACACAUAUAUUGACACUGAGGCACGAAAGCGUGGGGAUCAAACAGG